rnacentral:rRNA from 1 species
GCUUAGCCCUAAACCUCAAUAGUUAGAACAACAAAACUACUCGCCAGAAUACUACAAGCAACAGCUUGAAACUCAAAGGACUUGGCAGUGCUUCAUAUCCCUCUAGAGGAGCCUGUUCUAUAAUCGAUAAACUCCGAUUCACCUCACCACCUCUCGCCUAGUCUAUAUACCGCCAUCCUCAGCAAACCCUAAUAAAGGUUAUAAAGUAAGCAUAAGUGCCCCCGCAAAAACGUUAGGUCAAGGUGUAGCUUAUGAGGUGGUAAGAAAUGGGCUACAUUUUCUACCCCAGAAAACCCCACAAUAGCUCUUAUGAAAUCUAAGAGCCCAAGGAGGAUUUAACAGUAUAUUAAGAGCAGUGUGCUUAAUUGAAUAAGGCCAUAAAGCACGC